rnacentral:rRNA from 1 species
AGCGAACGCUGGCGGCAGGCUUAACACAUGCAAGUCGAGCGGGCAUCUUCGGAUGUCUGCGGCAGACGGGUGCGUAACACGUGGGAACGUACCCUUCGGUUCGGCACAACUCUGGGAAACUGGAGCUAAUACCGGAUACGCCCUUAUGGGGAAAGGUUUACUGCCGAAGGAUCGGCCCGCGUCUGAUUAGCUAGUUGGUGGGGUAACGGGCUAUCAAGGCGACGAUAAGUAGCUGGUCUGAGAGAAAGAUCAGCCACACUGGGACGGAGACACGGCGCGGACUCUUGCGGGAGGCGGGAAUGGGGAAUAUAGCAAAACGGCGUGAAGGCUGAUCCCGCCAUGCUGGGUGAGUGCCGAAGGCGUUAGGGUUGUAAAGCUCUUUUGUCCGGGACCAUAUUGACGGUACCGGAAGAAUAAGCCCCGGCUAACUUCGUG